rnacentral:tRNA from 1 species
UGGCUCAUUUGGUAGAGCAUGGUGUUUGCAACGCCAGGGUUGUGGGUUUGCAUUCCCAU